rnacentral:rRNA from 1 species
CGUCUAGGCGGGGAAUUAAGUUAGGUGUGAAAUCCCUGGGCUCAACCCAGGAACUGCAUCUAAAACUGGUUCUCUUGAGUUCGGGAGAGGAGAGCGGAAUUCCCGGUGUAGCGGUGAAAUGCGUAGAUAUCGGGAAGAACACCAGUGGCGAAGGCGGCUCUCUGGCCUAGAACUGACGCUGAAGCGCGAAAGCGUGGGGAGCGAACG